GUUUUAAUAGUUUAAUUAUAAAACAUAGAUUUUGUAAAUCUAAAAUAAUAUUAGUUUUGAAACU
rnacentral:tRNA from 1 species